rnacentral:rRNA from 1 species
AAAUUGAAGAGUUUGAUCAUGGCUCAGAUUGAACGCUGGCGGCAGGCCUAACACAUGCAAGUCGAACGGUAGCACAGAGAGCUUGCUCUCGGGUGACGAGUGGCGGACGGGUGAGUAAUGUCUGGGAAACUGCCCGAUGGAGGGGGAUAACUACUGGAAACGGUAGCUAAUACCGCAUAAUGUCGCAAGACCAAAGUGGGGGACCUUCGGGCCUCACACCAUCGGAUGUGCCCAGAUGGGAUUAGCUUGUUGGUGGGGUAACGGCUCACCAAGGCGACGAUCCCUAGCUGGUCUGAGAGGAUGACCAGCCACACUGGAACUGAGACACGGUCCAGACUCCUACGGGAGGCAGCAGUGGGGAAUAUUGCACAAUGGGCGCAAGCCUGAUGCAGCCAUGCCGCGUGUAUGAAGAAGGCCUUCGGGUUGUAAAGUACUUUCAGCGGGGAGGAAGGCGUUGUGGUUAAUAACCGCAGCGAUUGACGUUACCCGCAGAAGAAGCACCGGCUAACUCCGUGCCAGCAGCCGCGGUAAUACGGAGGGUGCAAGCGUUAAUCGGAAUUACUGGGCGUAAAGCGCACGCAGGCGGUUUGUUAAGUCAGAUGUGAAAUCCCCGGGCUCAACCUGGGAACUGCAUUUGAAACUGGCAAGCUUGAGUCUCGUAGAGGGGGGUAGAAUUCCAGGUGUAGCGGUGAAAUGCGUAGAGAUCUGGAGGAAUACCGGUGGCGAAGGCGGCCCCCUGGACGAAGACUGACGCUCAGGUGCGAAAGCGUGGGGAGCAAACAGGAUUAGAUACCCUGGUAGUCCACGCCGUAAACGAUGUCUAUUUGGAGGUUGUGCCCUUGAGGCGUGGCUUCCGGAGCUAACGCGUUAAAUAGACCGCCUGGGGAGUACGGCCGCAAGGUUAAAACUCAAAUGAAUUGACGGGGGCCCGCACAAGCGGUGGAGCAUGUGGUUUAAUUCGAUGCAACGCGAAGAACCUUACCUGGUCUUGACAUCCACGGAAUUUGGCAGAGAUGCCUUAGUGCCUUCGGGAACCGUGAGACAGGUGCUGCAUGGCUGUCGUCAGCUCGUGUUGUGAAAUGUUGGGUUAAGUCCCGCAACGAGCGCAACCCUUAUCCUUUGUUGCCAGCGAUUAGGUCGGGAACUCAAAGGAGACUGCCAGUGAUAAACUGGAGGAAGGUGGGGAUGACGUCAAGUCAUCAUGGCCCUUACGACCAGGGCUACACACGUGCUACAAUGGCGCAUACAAAGAGAAGCGACCUCGCGAGAGCAAGCGGACCUCAUAAAGUGCGUCGUAGUCCGGAUUGGAGUCUGCAACUCGACUCCAUGAAGUCGGAAUCGCUAGUAAUCGUGGAUCAGAAUGCCACGGUGAAUACGUUCCCGGGCCUUGUACACACCGCCCGUCACACCAUGGGAGUGGGUUGCAAAAGAAGUAGGUAGCUUAACCUUCGGGAGGGCGCUUACCACUUUGUGAUUCAUGACUGGGGUGAAGUCGUAACAAGGUAACCGUAGGGGAACCUGCGGUUGGAUCACCUCCUUACCUUAAAGAA